rnacentral:rRNA from 1 species
AGUGAACGCUGGCGGUAGGCCUAACACAUGCAAGUCGAACGGCAGCACAGUAAGAGCUUGCUCUUACGGGUGGCGAGUGGCGGACGGGUGAGGAAUACAUCGGAAUCUACUUUUUCGUGGGGGAUAACGUAGGGAAACUUACGCUAAUACCGCAUACGACCUACGGGUGAAAGCAGGGGAUCUUCGGACCUUGCGCGAUUGAAUGAGCCGAUGUCGGAUUAGCUAGUUGGCGGGGUAAAGGCCCACCAAGGCGACGAUCCGUAGCUGGUCUGAGAGGAUGAUCAGCCACACUGGAACUGAGACACGGUCCAGACUCCUACGGGAGGCACCAGUGGGGAAUAUUGGACAAUGGGCGCAAGCCUGAUCCAGCCAUACCGCGUGGGUGAAGAAGGCCUUCGGGUUGUAAGGCCCUUUUGUUGGGAAAGAAAAGCAGCAGGUUAAUACCCCGCUGUUCUGACGGUACCCAAAGAAUAAGCACCGGCUAACUUCGUG